CUGUAGAGACCCUCACCACACUACCAAGUGUAAUCAUAUUUUGAGCACUGCCAGUGGUUUAAAAUAGUGUUUGUUUUUUCAACAUGCUUGCUGCCCCCUUAACUUUCACUGUAGCCUAUGCUGCUGUCUGUGUUGCAGUCUUGCUCAAAACUCCACCAAUUAACACAAUUUUGCUACCACACUACCAUAAAUAUACCCUAGGUUGUUUGUGCUCUUGAGUUACACUUUAAUACAUUUCCUGUGUUUUUAGAGGGUGCAGGUAAGUUUUCUCUUUACAAGUGUAUCACCGUUAUUUUUUCUCUUUUACCCAUAGAUGGUCCAGGAGGUUCUGGAGAAGAGUUCAGGGGGAGAGGAAACAAUGGAGGAGUAUAAGAGAUUGAGCACCUUGACACACUGCACAAGACGGCAUCAUAUCCUGGUCAGCCACAUUGUUGAAAUGCAUGGGAACUCUGGAUCUCAUUCAUAGUCAGCAUUGGGUCCUUGGUUACCUGUCUGACCAAGGCCCCUUUGUCCCAGGAUUACUCAGUUUGGCUUGCAUUUUUGCGGAGAGUUGGAGGAUUUUGUGUAGAUGUUGAUGAAGAUGAUAUGUUUGUUAUAUCUCUGUCAGUCGUCUGAAUAUUUUUAAAUGUUUUUUUUAAAUGCCCAAGCUAUUGUUGUUUUUUUUUUCUCAACGUCAGGUUUAAUUUACACUGAAUAAAUGCUGUUAAAUGAAA